CCUACGGGUGGCAGCAGUGGGGAAUAUUGCACAAUGGGGGAAACCCUGAUGCAGCGACGCCGCGUGAGUGAUGAAGUAUUUCGGUAUGUAAAGCUCUAUCAGCAGGGAAGAUAAUGACGGUACCUGACUAAGAAGCUCCGGCUAAAUACGUGCCAGCAGCCGCGGUAAUACGUAUGGAGCAAGCGUUAUCCGGAUUUACUGGGUGUAAAGGGAGCGCAGACGGCAGGGCAAGUCUGAUGUGAAAGUCCGGGGCUCAACCCCGGGACUGCAUUGGAAACUGUCCGGCUGGAGUGCAGGAGAGGUAAGGGGAAUUCCUAGUGUAGCGGUGAAAUGCGUAGAUAUUAGGAGGAACACCAGUGGCGAAGGCGGCUUACUGGACUGUAACUGACGUUGAGGCUCGAAAGCGUGGGGAGCAAACAGGAUUAGAUACCCUGGUAGUC
rnacentral:rRNA from 1 species